rnacentral:rRNA from 1 species
GAUGAACGCUGGCGGCGUGCCUAAUACAUGCAAGUCGAGCGAACAGACGAGGAGCUUGCUCCUCUGACGUUAGCGGCGGACGGGUGAGUAACACGUGGAUAACCUACCUAUAAGACUGGGAUAACUUCGGGAAACCGGAGCUAAUACCGUAUAACAUGUUGAACCGCAUGGUUCAACAGUGAAAGACGGUCUUGCUGUCACUUAUAGAUGGAUCCGCGCCGCAUUAGCUAGUUGGUAAGGUAACGGCUUACCAAGGCAACGAUGCGUAGCCGACCUGAGAGGGUGGUCGGCCACACUGGAACUGGGACACGGUCCAGACUCCUACGGGAGGCAGCAGUAGGGAAUCUUCCGCAAUGGGCGAAAGCCUGACGGAGCAACGCCGCGUGAGUGAAGAAGGUCUUCGGAUCGUAAAACUCUGUUAUUAGGGAAGAACAAAUGUGUAAGUAACUAUGCACGUCUUGACGGUACCUAAUCAGAAAGCCACGGCUAACUACGUG